CCCACGUGCAGCCAGGGGGGAGGGGAUUUCGAAUGAUCGUCGAAAAGAGUCAGCUGCAUAAAUUCCACUCAAGCAGAAACUAGGACCUCCAAAGAGAGACUCAACUACUGCAACAACCCAGAAAACCAGCCCAUGCCCAACCCAGCAGGGGAAUGCAGCAGCACAGAGGAGAUCGUACUGCAUGAAACCGCUUUGAUAACUGGAUUCUAAUUGGAUUGCAUGUACCUGUAUUUAGUGAGUGUUGUGAGUUAAGCGGAAGUUCAAUUAUUCCUGUGUGUUGCUGCUGCUGGUUCCCUAUGCCAGUAUAGUCCAUUGUGAAAGAGUAUUGCUGUUACUGUAACCCGCUGCAUCCUGCCUGUGCCUGCAUCUCUUCAUUUCUAUAUCAUUUUAAUAAGAGCGCUUUAGCAUUUUGAUAUAUUUUAGGCUCUAUCCAUCACUGAUAGCUAUUAGUUUAUUUUUUGUAUAACUUAGUUGGUGCUGUUUGCUAUAGAUAUCUGUUAAUAACAGUUUUAUAUUAGUGACGUGAAGACAGGUUUAUAUUACUGAUUGAAAAGUACAUUUGUUAAUUAUUUGCUUAGUAUAACUUAGUUAUUCCUGAUUACUAUUAAAUGUUAAUUGCACAGUACAAUAUGUUAUUGCUUUUCCUUUUUUGCUUAUGAAUAAUAAAAUAUUUAGCUGUG